rnacentral:rRNA from 1 species
CCUACGGGAGGCAGCAGUGAGGAAUAUUGGUCAAUGGGCGCGAGCCUGAACCAGCCAAGUAGCGUGAAGGAUGAAUGCCCUACGGGUUGUAAACUUCUUUUAUAAAGGAAUAAAGUGAGGCACGUGUGCCUUUUUGGAUGUACUUUAUGAAUAAGGAUCGGCUAACUCCGUGCCAGCAGCCGCGGUAAUACGGAGGAUCCGAGCGUUAUCCGGAUUUAUUGGGUUUCAAGGGAGCGUAGAUGGGUUGUUAAGUCAGUUGUGAAAGUUUGCGGCUCAACCGUAAAAUUGCAAUUGCUACUGGCAGUCUUGCUUACAGUUGAGGUAGGCGGCAUUCGUGGUGUCGCGG